GGAACUCCAGGUGCUGGGUCUUCCAGGAGCGCGCCUGCGCUGGAGGGUGACCACAGGCGGCCGGGCGAGAUGUCCUGUGCGCAGUCUUCAGCCCAGCAGCCGCCACCCAUAAGCUAUGAGGAGGAGUUUACGACCACCUGGACUACUACCACCUGCGUGACUUCCCGGCCUGCGGGGUCCGCGCAGCAAAGGCCUGACGCUGCUCGAGCAGGCGCUGCGCACCUACCGGCUGGCGCCUGGUAGGCAUGAGCGAAGGGUCUCCCAGAAGCUCCUCAAUGGCCGGCGCAAGUGCCAACCAGCGCCAGCUGAGCCUGGGAGUGAAGAAGCUGUUUCUUUACACAACUGUUAUCCCAUAAUGCCUGCUUCUGCUGCUACCACGGGCUCACCUAAAAGGCAACCAAA
rnacentral:lncRNA from 1 species